GACGAACGCUGGCGGCGUGCUUAACACAUGCAAGUCGAACGGAAAGGCCCUGCUUUUGUGGGGUGCUCGAGUGGCGAACGGGUGAGUAACACGUGAGUAACCUGCCCUUGACUUUGGGAUAACUUCAGGAAACUGGGGCUAAUACCAGAUAGGAGCUCCUGCUGCAUGGUGGGGGUUGGAAAGUUUCGGCGGUUGGGGAUGGACUCGCGGCUUAUCAGCUAGUUGGUGGGGUAGUUGCUUACCAAGGCUGUGACGGGUAGCCGGCCUGAGAGGGUGACCGGCCACAUUGGGACUGAGAUAGGGCCCAGACUCCUACGGGAGGCAGCAGUGGGGAAUAUUGCACAAUGGGCGGAAGCCUGAUGCAGCAACGCCGCGUGCGGGAUGACGGCCUUCUGGUUGUAAACCGCUUUCGCCUGUGACGAAGCGGGAGUGACGGUAAUGGGUAAAGAAGCACCGGCUAACUACGUG
rnacentral:rRNA from 1 species